CUCUGAAAACCAUUUUGAUCCAUUAAGUGGUGGGGUUGGACCAUCCGAAUCGGUCCCACCUCCCUGCAGAGGGGAAGGGUCGUGAGAAGUCCAGUUGCACCAGGAAGUGAUCUGACCACGGCACUUCUUUUGUUUCACUUUUACUUAGUGUCAGAUCACCCACAUCCAUAGAGGUAAACACCAGCUCUAAGGCAUGUCCACGACUAAGAGUUGGGCCAAACUUAUUCAGGGAAAGCCCUUGUGGAGGCCCUGCUUUCCACAAAGUCCCGAGUGGCCCGUUGUAAGGUUGUGUUGACAUGGAUGUUAAAAUCCUCUAGGACAACCAAACAAGGUGUCUCCAGGAGCAUAUCCGCCACGACCUGAAGCAGCUCGGCCAGGGAAUCCUUGGUGCAGCAGGGAGGUCAGUAAACCAAAAGGAAUCCUAUUGCCCAACUUCCAGAACAUGCUUCCAGAACAUUCCACCACGCCUGGUAGAAGCUAAUGACUUCCUAAAAAUCACUGCAACCCCCCAUCCCCCCCCAUAUGACCUGGGUUACUGUGCGUAAGAUAAACCUAGUGGACAAGCAGUAGCAAGCACAGGCCCAUCUGCUUCCUCCAAGCAAGUCUCUGUCUCACAUGCCAGGUCAAGUCCCCCAUCCAUGAUCAAGUCAUGGAUCCAGUGGUCUUAUUAAUCGUUGACCUGGCAUUGCACAGCAGCACCUUCAGGUCAUGUGGGUCUCCCUUGCUGGUUCCAAUAUCCUUCCAGUCAAGACCAGAGUUGGAGGCAGGGAUAGUCUUCAAACAACUACUAUACCUGCGUCCCUGGUAAUGGCAUGGUCUGGCCUUAACGUAACUCCUCCUCCUACCCGUGAUCACUGAAAUCGGGCAUCCCAGUGCAUUCCCCCUGUGGAACCUACCCCAGCCAUUCUGUUGGCUAGGGUCCACUCCCAGGGAGCCCUGACUCUCUCCCCUUAAAACCAAAAUACAGACUAAACAAUACACC